ACNNNNNNNNNNNNNNNNNNNNNNNNNNNNNNNNNNNNNNNNNNNNNNNUUAAACAAAACAUUUACCCCUAUAAAAGUAUAGGAGAUAGAAAUUCUUAAUUGGAGCUAUAGAGCUAGUACCGUAAGGGAAAGAUGAAAGAAAACAUUUACAGUAAAACAAAGCAAAGACUAAACCUUUUACCUUUUGCAUAAUGAAUUAACCAGAAUCAACUUCACAAAAAGAAUUUAAGCCAAGAACCCCGAAACCAGACGAGCUACUUAUGAGCAGCUACAAGAGCUAAUCCGUCUAUGUGGCAAAAUAGUGGAAUGACUUAUAAGUAGAGGUGAAAAGCCUACCGAGCCUGGUGAUAGCUGGUUAUCCAGAUCAGAAUUUUAGUUCGACUCUAAAUUUACUUUAAGCACCCAACAAUCCAAACGUAAAUUUAAUUGUUAAUCUAAAGGGGGACAGCUCUUUAGAUACAGGAAACAACCUUAGUUAGAGAGUAAUGUUCCACAAUCUCCAUAGUUGGCCUAAAAGCAGCCACCAAUUAAAAAAGCGUUCAAGCUUAACCCAACACACCCAACUUAAUUUAAACAUUUACACUCACCUCCUAAUCUUACACUGGAUUAAUCUAUAACUAACUAUAGAAGCAAUAAUGUUAAUAUGAGUAACAAGAAAACUUUCUCCCUGCAUAAGUUUAUACCAACCCGAAUAAUUCACUGGUAGUUAACAAAYYUAUAUUUCCAAUCCAAAAANNNNNNNNNNNNNNNUACAAUGUUAACCCAACACUGGUAUGCACCCAAGGGAAAGAUUAAACAAAGUAAAAGGAACUCGGCAAACACAAACCCCGCCUGUUUACCAAAAACAUCACCUCUAGCAUAAAUAGUAUUAGAGGCACUGCCUGCCCGGUGACAUAUGUUUAACGGCCGCGGUAUCCUGACCGUGCAAAGGUAGCAUAAUCAUUUGUUCCUUAAAUAGGGACUUGUAUGAAUGGCCAAACGAGGGUUUAUCUGUCUCUUACUUUCAAUCAGUGAAAUUGACCUUCCCGUGAAGAGGCGGGAAUAAACAAAUAAGACGAGAAGACCCUGUGGAGCUUAAAUYYAUUAGYCCAAGUACUAUAUACAACAACUCUACAAGAGACAAAAUACUACCCCUGGACUAAAGAUUUUGGUUGGGGUGACCUCGGAGCAUAACUCAGCCUCCGAAUGAUCUUAAUCUAGACCACAACCCGUCUAAAUUUAAACUCAUAAAUUGACCCAAACUAUUGAUCAACGGAACAAGUUACCCCAGGGAUAACAGCGCAAUCCUACCCAAGAGUCCAUAUCGACAGUAGGGUUUACGACCUCGAUGUUGGAUCAGGACAUCCAAAUGGUGCAACCGCUAUUAAUGGUUCGUUUGUUCAACGAUUAAAGUCCUACGUGAUCUGAGUUCAGACCGGAGAAAUCCAGGUCGGUUUCUAUCUAUUAAAAGUUCCUCCCAGUACGAAAGGACAAGAGUAACAAGGCCAACUCCUACAGCAUGCCUUACAAUAAAUAGAUGAUAUAAUCUCAAUCUAAUUAAUAAAUUACACAAAUUUCACCCUAGAACAGGGCUA
rnacentral:rRNA from 1 species